GCGCUGGUGGUUCAGUGGUAGAAUUCUCGCCUGCCACGCGGGAGACCGGAGUUCGAUUCCCCGCUAGCGCA
rnacentral:tRNA from 1 species